ACGGGGGGAGCAAGCGUUGUUCGGAUUUAUUGGGCGUAAAGGGCUCGUAGGUGGCUCUGUAAGUCGGAGGUGAAAGACCACGGCUCAACCGUGGAAACGCCUUCGAAACUGUGGAGCUUGAGGCUGGGAGAGGAGAUCGGAAUUCCUGGUGUAGCGGUGAAAUGCGUAGAUAUCUGGAGGAACACCGGUGGCGAAGGCGGCAUCCUGGACCAACACUGACACUGAGGAGCGAAAGCCAGGGGAGCAAACGGGA
rnacentral:rRNA from 1 species